rnacentral:rRNA from 1 species
GACGAACGCUGGCGGCGUGCCUAAUACAUGCAAGUCGAGCGAAGCGGCGGACGGGUGAGUAACACGUGAGUAACCUGCCUUAGACCUUGGGCUAGUCCCGGGAAACCGGGAUACAUACCAACUGUGCUAAGAUGGACUCGCGUCCCAUUAGCAAGUUGGUGAGGUAACGGCCCACCAAGGGGACGAUGGGGAGCCGGCCGGAGAGGGUGAACGGCGACAUUGGAACUGAGACACGGUCAGGAAUCUACGGGAAGCAGCAGAGGGGAAUAUUGCAAAAGGGAGGGAAGUCAAAGGGAUCGACGGAGCGUGAACGAGGGAGGCUAGCGAGUCGUAAAGUUCUUAUAAAGGGGAAGCGGUAAUAUAAGAAAAAGGCCCGGCUAACUACGUGCCAGCAGCCGCGGUAAUUC